UACGGGGGGAGCAAGCGUUGUUCGGAUUUACUGGGCGUAAAGGGCGCGUAGGCGGUCGUGACAAGUCACUUGUGAAAUCUCCGGGCUUAACUCGGAACGGUCAAGUGAUACUGUCGUGCUAGAGUACAGAAGGGGCAACUGGAAUUCUCGGUGUAGCGGUGAAAUUCGUAGAUAUUCGCAAGAACACCAGUGGCGAAGGCGGCUCACUGGCCCGAUACUGACGCUGAGGCACGAAAGCGUGGGGAGCAAACAGGG
rnacentral:rRNA from 1 species